GCAAAAUCAUAGAGCUCAACAUCUUCAUCCAGCCACACCUGCAAGGAGUGGACAGCAUUUCAAAGAAUUAGACACACAGCAACGAAAAAGAAAUACAACAAACCUUGAGUUUCAUUCGGGGGAAGAGGAAAAGGUCACAAAUCUGCGCACAGAGAUAAUAAUAAAGAUGAAGCACCUGGUUCUUGAUGCCGUCAUCUCCUGAGAGAUCUGUGGUGUUGAGCUGGAAAACCAGAAACUGGAAAAUUCUACCGUUGGUCCCCACUG